rnacentral:rRNA from 1 species
GAUCCUGGCUCAGGACGAACGCUGGCGGCGUGCCUAAUACAUGUAAGUUGAGCGCUGAAGGUUGGUACUUGUACCGACUUGAUGAGCAGCGAACGGGUGAGUAACGCGUGGGGAAUCUGCCUUUGAGCGGGGGACAACAUUUGGAAACGAAUGCUAAUACCGCAUAAAAACUUUAAACACAAGUUUUAAGUUUGAAAGAUGCAAUUGCAUCACUCAAAGAUGAUCCCGCGUUGUAUUAGCUAGUUGGUUAGG